rnacentral:lncRNA from 1 species
GGAAGCACUUCGCUUCGCCCUGUGCCUUGGUGCAUGUCCAAGGUGUGCCAUUAAUCAGCCCGACUAUAUGGGCUGUUCCAUCUUAUUGCUUAAUUAAGACUAGUCAGUAAUUUACUUGAGAUUAAUACCUAUUUAUAUGGAGCUGAGGUUUCAUCUAUUUGGGGGAUGAGUUAUUGAACUGCAUUAUGUGAAGUAAAUCAAUAAAAUAUUACUGGAAAUGAGAAUGACUCUGCCCUGCACUUCAGUCCUUUCACCAGCUCGCAGAGAAAACUCACUUAAGGGAGGCGUUCACGUUUACCUUCAGAUUCCAAUUUUCCAGCUAGACGUGAUGUCUAUUAAUAUCCCUGAUCACCUUGCUCUCAUUACCUGAAGUGGAUUGUAGAGCCGAGACUCCAGGGAGUGCUGCUAAGAAUAAGAGGUGCUUUCAAUCAGUUACAGGGUAGUGGUGGCCCUAUUAUGAUAUGACCAAUAGCCCCAUCUUUCCUGGGAUUACUGCAAAACCAACACCCUCGAACAGGAGGGUUUUGUAUCUCCAUAUAUCCAUGCUGUUUGUGAGGAACAACAGAGAGGUCAUCAGUGGGUGAUGUCCAGAAUAUGCAGCGUAAUUGCAGGGGUUUAUUAAGCUCAUGCAACCUGUUUACCAAGUGCAAAUAAUUUCCACUGAAUGUCAUGUCUUAGUUCUCUUCCAGUGCUGAGGAAGACGUUUCCCUGGCCACAUCACCAGCCUGCACUGACUUCCCUUGAAAGGGGCUCUUUGAGCACUACACCUCUGUCACCAGCGGCACACGGCCAGGAAAGCUCCAGCUCCAUAACAAUAUGAAUUUGGAUUGAGGAAGAAAUGUUGCUGUCAACCUGCUCUUCAGGGUGCAGUGCUGGUUAGGAGCCCUCCUGCCUGCUGCCCAAGACCGGCAUGCUACACCUGAAGAGCAGCCUGCCUUUUCAAUUCUUCUGCAAUGGGUAAGGGACAGCAAGUCAGCAGGUUGUGUCCCAGGAUGUGCCACCAAGAUGCCUGCUGGAGCAGUCACACAUGCACAGAUGUGAUUUGAAAGAGGUGCCACUUCCCUUUGUGUGUGCACACCUCUCUCUUCAAGUAGAAGCCAAGCAGUUAAAAAAUGGAAUAAAAAAAGGAAACCAGAAAGUGUCA